CCGGAGAAUGUUAUCACGGGAGACACACGGCGGGUGCUAACGUCCGUCGUGAAGAGGGAAACAACCCAGACCGCCAGCUAAGGUCCCAAAGUCAUGGUUAAGUGGGAAACGAUGUGGGAAGGCCCAGACAGCCAGGAUGUUGGCUUAGAAGCAGCCAUCAUUUAAAGAAAGCGUAAUAGCUCACUGGUCGAGUCGGCCUGCGCGGAAGAUGUAACGGGGCUAAACCAUGCACCGAAGCUGCGGCAGCGACGCUGAUGCGUUGUUGGGUAGGGGAGCGUUCUGUAAGCCUGCGAAGGUGACCUGUGAGGGUUGCUGGAGGUAUCAGAAGUGCGAAUGCUGACAUAAGUAACGAUAAAGCGGGUGAAAAGCCCGCUCGCCGGAAGACCAAGGGUUCCUGUCCAACGUUAAUCGGGGCAGGGUGAGUCGACCCCUAAGGCGAGGCCGAAAGGCGUAGUUGAUGGGAAACGGGUUAAUAUUCCCGUACUUGGUGUUACUGCGAAGGGGGGACGGAGAAGGCUAUGUUGGCCGGGCGACGGUUGUCCCGGUUUAAGCGUGUAGG
rnacentral:rRNA from 1 species